UGGUUGAAGCUCAAAGAGUUGUAUAUGGCGAAAUCUCUAACCAACACUCUCUUCCUUUGGACGCAGUUCUACCAGCUACAGAUGACUGAGGGAUAGAGCAUGCAAGAGCAUCCAAUCACUUUCAGAAGAUCCUCACUGAUCUCCUUAGCAUUGGUGAGAAAGCUAAGGAGAAGAUUAGGAAGCUGGUCUUGCUAGCAUCGCUUCUCCCUUCGUAUGAGUCCUUGGUGAC
rnacentral:lncRNA from 1 species